rnacentral:rRNA from 1 species
AGUGAACGCUGGCGGUAGGCCUAACACAUGCAAGUCGAACGGCAGCACAGUAAGAGCUUGCUCUUACGGGUGGCGAGUGGCGGACGGGUGAGGAAUACAUCGGAAUCUACUUUUUCGUGGGGGAUAACGUAGGGAAACUUACGCUAAUACCGCAUACGACCUACGGGUGAAAGCAGGGGAUCUUCGGACCUUGCGCGAUUGAAUGAGCCGAUGUCGGAUUAGCUAGUUGGCGGGGUAAAGGCCCACCAAGGCGACGAUCCGUAGCUGGUCUGAGAGGAUGAUCAGCCACACUGGAACUGAGACACGGUCCAGACUCUUACGGGAGGCAGUAGCGGGGAAUAUUGGACAAUGGGCGCAAGCCUGAUCCAGCCAUACCGCGUGGGUGAAGAAGGCCUUCGGGUUGUAAAGCCCUUUUGUUGGGAAAGAAAAGCAGCAGGUUAAUACCCCGCUGUUCUGACGGUACCCAAAGAAUAAGCACCGGCUAACUUCGUG